ensembl:misc_RNA Metazoa_SRP Metazoan signal recognition particle RNA
GACAGGCAUGGUGGCAUGCACUUGUAGUCCCAGCUAUUGGGAGGCUAAAGCAGAAAGAUUGCUUGAGUAUAGGAGUUCUGGGUUGUUGUGUGCUAUGCCAAUUGGAUGUCCACAUUUAGUUCAGCAUCAAUAUGCUGAAAGCAGGGAACCAACCAGGUUGCCUAAGGAGGAAUAAACUGGCCUAGAUUGGAACUGGAGCACGCCAAAACUCCCAUGCUGAUCAGAAGUGGGAUCAAGCCCAUGAAUAGCCACUGCACUCCAUCCUGAGCCACAUAGUGGGACCUCAUCUCUU